AAGGGGAAGUGAAUUGCCCAAGGUCACACAGCUGCAAGACCCCAAUCUGAACCCACGUGUGUUGGUUUCUAGUGCACACAUUACUACUUAGAGAUUUACCUAGAAUAUUUCAUGGCAGCAAGUGGGGGAAAGGCCGCAAACCUCCUCUCAGCGAUUCUGACAGAGUCUUCCAUUCUUACACUGCUUUGUAUGGCAGCUAUAGGAACUAGGUACUUUUUUUUUUUAAAGGAUUUUAUUUUAUGUAUAUGAGUACACUGUCACUACCUUCAUACACACCAGAAUAGGACAUCAGACCUCAUUACUGAUGGUUGGGAACCUCCAUGUGGUUGCUGGGAAUUGAACUCAGGACCUCUGGAGGGGCAGUCAGUGCUCUUAACCGCUGAGCCAUCUCUCCAGCCCUUGAUCCCUAACAUAAUUACUUUCUCAUCAGAGAACAGAUUUUUCACUCUGGAAGCUGUUUAGGAUGAACUGCAAUUUGUUUCGCUCAGAAUAUCGUCUGUGUGUGACCAGGCACUUUAAUACUGCACUGUGGUGUGGGGCAGUUAGCUGACCGUGGUAGCCAGCUGCAUGUUACCAGCAGCAUCUUCAGAACGCACCACAGUUCCCGUAAGGCCAUACUUUGCUUGGGCCAUUACAAGUGGCUGUACCUGUAGAGAAGUUAGAAUGGGCCGUUCCUGCCUAACACAGGAUCCUGGGGUGAGCCAUGCGGGUGCUGUUCGCCCCAAGUCACGGCUGAGGUUUCCUCAGGGCAUCAGUGCUGAGGCCCCUCCUACUCGAUUCUCCUUCCGCUUUCCCUCGGCCUCUGUUGUCCUUAGGGUGCUGCCUGUCUCUGCAUGACUGGGGCUGGGUUCCCAGUGCAUCCUUGCCUAAAUUCUGAGGAGAGGCAGCUGGCAUGUUAUUUAAGUAUAGUGAAGUUGAAGUUACACAGAUCACUGGCAAAAGAGAACAGAUUUUUCACUAUGGAAGCUGUUUAGGAUGAACUGCAAUUUGUUUCGCUCAGAAUAUCGUCUGUGUGUGAUACAAUCAUGGCUCGAGUCCCGAGAGACCACAUCAGGCCAAUGCAGUCCCAUGUGGAAGAGGCAGAGCUACCAGCACCUUCCUGUUCGACACCUUCUGAUCUCAGCACUGACAGUAAAUGCUAGUGCACCCUGACAACUUUCUCUCCACUCUGCAUGGUGCCCCUAGGGGAAAUCAUUCAUCUUUCCUAGAACCAGCCUCCUUGUGUUAUAGAGAUUUUCAUUCAGUCCUCUUCCAGCUGAGGCUUUGUCCAGCAUGUUUUUCCAUACUUUUCUAGAUGUCCUAGACAUAGAUGCUUUCUCUCUGACCAUUUCA